CAAGGCUCUGUCUCUGCCAUAGAAAGGAAGUCCUCACCAGAUACUGAAUCUGCACACACUUAGUAUUAAACUGCCUAAUCCCCCAUACCUGUCAAGUUUUAAAUGGCCACCUAAGCAACACAGCUGCACAAGGACACAUCAUGGCAGGAUUGUGAGGUAGCACAAUGCUGGCUCAAGGCCAAGAUACCUGAAAUGGGGGAGGAAUCAACUGGGAUUGACUGUCUUAUAAUUAAGAUAAAAACUACAGCAUCAUU